UACGGAUGAUGCAAGCGUUAUCCGGAAUGAUUGGGCGUAAAGGGUGCGUAGAUGGUGAUGUAUGUCUAUUGUCAAAGGUUCUGGCUUAACCAGAGACAGGCAGUAGAAACUGCAAAACUAGAGUGCAGUCGGGGCAGGGGGAAUUCCUGGUGUAGCGGUGAAAAGCGUAGAGUUCAGGAAGAACACCGGUGGCGAAAGCGCCCUGCUAGGCUGUGACUGACACUGAGGGACGAAAGCUAGGGGAGCGAAUGGG
rnacentral:rRNA from 1 species